rnacentral:lncRNA from 1 species
UAAUCUACUCAAUUUAAACUUUAAAAUACUUAACUAGACUCAAAAACUGCAAACUAGACUCUUAUGACUCGAAACUGACCAAAUUGACUCAAAACAACAAAACUAAGUUAAAAAGAUUCAAAACAGACUCUAGGGAGUGAUUUGGAUGAAUUUAAGAUUAUGAAGACUCAAAACACUAAAUUAGACAGAUUUGAACUCAAUUAACUAAACCGAGACACUAAAUAAGAACUAAGAGGGUUUUUGGACAAAUUUGACAAAACUAAGUAAAUUGCAGCAAACAAAGUAAGUUAAAACGAAAUUAAGAUGAAUUCAAUGGUGAAAAGCUAGUUAGAGUGUCAUUUUCCACACAUGAACAUAUGCAACAUAAAUCGAUUUCCAGUAUUGUUUCUUUAAACCAUGAAUGAUAAUGCCCCAAAUUAAUGGUGAAUGCACAAAUUAACUCUCAAAUUUCCCUAAAUUCAUUGAAUUGAAUGGACAAUGCAUCGCAAUCAAAUUAUUCUUCUCAAGUUCCCUAUAUGAACAACAUGAUAAAGAUACAUUCAAAGAUCAUUAAGUUCCAUGGAAAUCAUAAGCAUUGACAAGGCUAUCAUAACUAUGAACUGCAUGAUACUCCAGCCAAGAAUUUACUUAACAUAAUUGUGACUAGCAAUCUUCCCUACUUUUAAUUAUAAGUUCCUAAUGAUUAGGUGAAAGUCCCUUAUAAUUUAGCAUCAGAUUCAUGUAUGCAAACUAAGUAUGCAUCCUUAAUCAACACACAAGAAUAAGGUAUUGAUCGGAUCAUAUUUAUAUAUAUUUUUACUUCGAAUUCACUCGUCUUUUCUUAGUUAGUUCCUUAUAUUUUUGAGCUAUUUACGUUAUUUUUGUGUUUAUAAGAUUUGAUAUGUUUUGUAGAAAGAAUAAAGAAAAGAAAAGGAAAAAAAUAAAGAAGGAUAAUGAGGGGGGAUCCAAGAGAGACAGGUGGGCUGUCUGUGACGAAAAAGAAAUAGCUGCGUGGGCAGCUUGUGAAGGUCAGCACGCAGGAAUAGGCGCAGAAAAUAAGGAGGACAGAGUCAGUACAAAGGUGAGGACGGUCCAAUACAGCGUGAAAGGAGAACGCAGACAGAGAUCUUCACCUCUCUUUCGGUUUAAUCUCUCUAAACUUCUAUUUUAUUUCUAUUUUUAAUAAUGUGUAAAUAAACUGAUUUUGGCUAGAGGUUAAUUCAAAGCCAUGAUUAUAUCUGUAAUAUGAAUUGAUUACCUUCAGUUGUGAUUUCAUAAGUUGUGAAUUCAAUUUACUUAUCCGUUCGUAUAAAAACUGAUUUGUGUAUGUUGGUUG